rnacentral:rRNA from 1 species
CGCCCUUAGAGUUUGAUCAUGGCUCAGGACGAACGCUGGCGGCGUGCCUAAUACAUGCAAGUCGAACGCAGCUUGCUUUGGUAAGAUGAGUGGCGAACGGGUGAGUAACACGUGGGUAACCUGCCUAUCAGAGGGGGAUAACACUUGGAAACAGGUGCUAAUACCGCAUAGAUUUCUUCCGCAUGAAAAGAGAGGAAAGACGUACGUGUCACUGAUAGAUGGACCCGCGGUGCAUUAGCUAGUUGGUGAGGUAACGGCUCACCAAGGCCAUGAUGCAUAGCCGACCUGAGAGGGUGAUCGGCCACACUGGGACUGAGACACGGCCCAGACUCCUACGGGAGGCAGCAGUAGGGAAUCUUCGGCAAUGGACGAAAGUCUGACCGAGCAACGCCGCGUGAGUGAAGAAGGUUUUCGGAUCGUAAAACUCUGUUGUUAGAGAAGAAUAGGUAGGAGUGACCUCCUGCCAUGACGGUAUCUAACCAGAAAGCCACGGCUAACUACAUGCCAACAGCCGCGGUAAUACGUA